UACGUAGGGUGCAAGCGUUAAUCGGAAUUACUGGGCGUAAAGCGUGCGCAGGCGGUGCUGUAAGACAGGCGUGAAAUCCCCGGGCUUAACCUGGGAAUGGCGCUUGUGACUGCAGUGCUGGAGUGCGGCAGAGGGGGAUGGAAUUCCGCGUGUAGCAGUGAAAUGCGUAGAUAUGCGGAGGAACACCGAUGGCGAAGGCAAUCCCCUGGGCCUGCACUGACGCUCAUGCACGAAAGCGUGGGGAGCAAACAGG
rnacentral:rRNA from 1 species